UGGACGCAAGUCUGAUGGAGCAACGCCGCGUGAGUGAAGAAGGCUUUGCGGGUCGUAAAACUCUGUUGUUGGAGAAGAAUGGUCGGCAGAGUAACUGUUGUCGGCGUGACGGUAUCCAACCAGAAAGCCACGGCUAACUACGUGCCAGCAGCCGCGGUAAUACGUAGGUGGCAAGCGUUAUCCGGAUUUAUUGGGCGUAAAGCGAGCGCAGGCGGUUUUUUAAGUCUGAUGUGAAAGCCCUCGGCUUAACCGAGGAAGUGCAUCGGAAACUGGGAAACUUGAGUGCAGAAGAGGACAGUGGAACUCCAUGUGUAGCGGUGAAAUGCGUAGAUAUAUGGAAGAACACCAGUGGCGAAGGCGGCUGUCUGGUCUGUAACUGACGCUGAGGCACGAAAGCAUGGGUAGCGAACAGGAUUAGAUACCCUGGUAGUCCAUGCCGUAAACGAUGAAUGCUAGGUGUUGGAGGGUUUCCGCCCUUCAGUGCCGCAGCUAACGCAUUAAGCAUUCCGCCCUGGGGAGUACGACCGCAAGGUUGAAACUCAAAGGAAUUGACGGGG
rnacentral:rRNA from 2 species